rnacentral:sRNA from 1 species
GGCUCACAACCAAAAAUAUAAGAAACUGCAUGUCCAUUCGCGAAAAUUUUCCCUGGGUAUAUAUAGAGAACUGUGCCUGAUACAAGUGAGUCCGCUUUGGAACGUAGUGAAUUCGCUUAGAAACAACAGCUCCAUAUCCAAAAAGUUUCCCCUUCUAUAUCUUAAAAACUACUCUGCCUCUUGCAAGUGAGUCCCACUUGGAAGGAUGAGAAUUCGGUAAAAAGUGCAGUUCCAAUCGCGAAAAUUUCCCCUGCCCAUAUCUUGUAAUCUUAUACUUCCUACAAGUGAAUCCCGCUAGAAAGGAAGAGAAUUCGCUUAGAAUAUGCAGCUCCAUUCCUGAAAACCUGCACUGACCUAAAUCUUGAAAACUACUCCUGCUACAAUAGAGUCGCGCUUGGAACCAAGAAAAUUCACUUAAACAGUGCAGUCUCCAUCGCGAAAAUUUCCCCUGCGUAUUUCUUGACAUCUAUGCUUCCUACAAGUGACUCCCGCUUGGAACGAAGAGAAUUCCCUUAGAAAUUGCAGCUCCAUAAGGGAAAUCUUUCCCUGCCUAUAUUAUGAAAUAUACGCCUGCUAGAAGGGGUUACCACUUGGAAUAAGAGAAUUCGCUUAGAAAUUAUACCUCCCUCCAUGAAAAAUUUCCCUGCCUGUACCAAGAAAACUACGCCUGCUACAAAAGAGUCCCUCUUGGAAAGAAGAGAAUUCUCUUAGAAAAUGCAGCCAUAAUUGCGAAAAUCUUCCCUGCCUAUAUAAAGAAAACUAUGCCUGCUAUAAUAGAGUCCCGCUUGGAACAAAAAGAAUUCGCUUAGAGACUGCAGCUCCAAUUGUGAAAAAAUGCCCUGAAUAUAUCUUGAAAACCAUACAUACAAGUGAGUCCGACUUCGAACGAAGACAAUUUGCUUAGAAACUGCAUCUCCAUUCGCGAAAAUUUUCCCUGGGUAUAUAUAGUGAACUAUGCCUGAUACAAGUGAGUCCGCCUUGGAACGUAGUGAAUUCGCUUAGAAACUAUACCUCCGUUCGUGAAAAAUUUCCAUGCCUGUAUCAAAAAACCUACGUCUGCUACAGUAGAGUCCGUCUUGGAAGGAAGAGAAUUCUCGUAGAAACUGCAGCUACAAUUGCGAAAAACUUCCCUGCCCAUAUCAACAAAACUAUGCCAUAGAGUCCCACUUGGAAUGAAGAGAAUUCGCUUACAGACUGCAGCUCCAAUUGUGAAAAACUGCCCAGAGUAUAUCUUGAAAACCAUGCCUCAUACAAGUGAGUCCCGCUUCGAACGAAGACAAUUCGCUUAGAAACAGCAUCUCCAUUCGUGAAAAUUUUCCCUCGCUAUAUAUAGAGAACUAUGCCUGAUACAAGUGAGUCCGCCUUGGAACGUAGUGAAUUCGCUUAGAAACAACAGCUCCAUAUCCGAAAAGUUUCCCACUCUAUAUCUUAGAAACUACGCUUCAUGCAAGUGAGUCCCACUUGGAAGGAAGAGAAUUCCCUUAAAAAGUGCAGUUCCCAUCGCGAAAAUUUCCGCUGCCUAUAUUAUGAAAUCUACGCUUCGUACAAGUGAGUCCCGCUUGGAACGAAGAGAAUUCGCUUAGAAAUUGCAGCUCCGUAAAGGAAAACUUUCCCUGGCUAUAUCAUGAAAAAUACGCCACUACAAGUGGUUCCCACUCGGAAUGAAGAGAAUUCGCUUAGAAACUAUAGCUCCGUUCGUGAAAAAUUUCGAUGCCUGUAUCAAAACUCCUACGCCUGCUACAGUACAGUCCGUCUUGGAAGGAAGAGAAUUCUCUUAGAAACUGCAGCUACAAUUGCGAAAAACUUCCCUGCCCAUAUCAACAAAACUAUGCCACAGAGUCCCACUUGGAAUGAAGAGAAUUCGCUUACAGAGUGCAGCUCCAAUUGUGAAAAACUGCCCAGAGUAUAUCUUGAAAACCAUGCCUCGUACAAGUGAGUCCCGCUUCGAACGAAGACAAUUUACUUAGAAACUGCAUCUCCAUUUGCGAAAAUUUUCCCUGGGUAUAUAUAGAGAACUAUGCCUGAUACAAGUGAGUCCGCUUUGGAACGUAGUGAAUUCGCUUAGAAACAACAGCUCCAUAUCCGAAAAGUUUCCCACUCUAUAUCUUAAAAACUACGCCUCUUGCAAGUGAGUCCCACUUGGAAGGAAGAGAAUUCGCUUAAAAAGUGCAGUUCCAAUCGCGAAAAUUUCCCCUGCCUAUAUCUUGAAAUCUACACUUCGUACAAUUGAAUCCCGCUCGGAAGUAAGAGAAUUCGCUGAGAAAAUGCAGGUCCAUUCGCGAAAAUUUUCCCUGGUAAUAUACAGAGAACUAUGCCUGAUACAAGUGAGUUCCCGUUGGAAGGAAUAGAAUACGCUAAGAAACAACAGCUCCAUUUCUGAAAACUUUCCCACUCUAUGUCUUGAAUACUACACCUGAUGCAAGGGAAUCCCGCUUGGAACGAAGAGAAUCCGAUUAAAAAGUGCAGUUCCAAUCACGAAAAUUUCCCCUGCCUAUAUCUUGAAAUCUACAGUUCCUACAAGUGAAUCCCGUAGGAACGAAGAGAAUUUGCUUAGAAAGUGCAGCUCCGUUUGCGAAAACCUUCCCUGCCUGUAUAAAGAAAACUACGUCUGCUACAAUAGAUUCCCAGUGGAAA